ACUGCAAGUCGAACGGAUUUGAGAGGUGAGAGGUGGGAGGUUAGAGGUGAGAGUUGAGAGUUGAGAAACGAGAAGUGAGAAGUGAGAAUUAGGGUAAUCCAAAUAAGGAUGACCGAAGCUCCCACAUCCCACAUCUCAUAUCCCACAUCCCAUACCUCACAUCCCGCUUCCCACAUCUCACUUCUCAGAUUAGUGGCGGACGGGUGAGUAACGCGUGGGCAACCACCCCUGUACAGUGGGAUAACACCGGGAAACCGGUGCUAAUACCGCAUGAAGCCUAAGCGGUGCAUAUCGUUUAGGUUAAAGGAAUUAACCGGUACGGGACGGGCCCGCGUCCCAUUAGCUAGUUGGUGAGGUAACGGCUCACCAAGGCGACGAUGGGUAGCCGACCUGAGAGGGUGAUCGGCCACACUGGGACUGAGACACGGCCCAGACUCCUACGGGAGGCAGCAGUGGGGAAUAUUGCGCAAUGGACGCAAGCCUGAUCCAGCCAUGCCGCGUGAGUGAUGACGGCCCUAGGGUUGUAAAGCUCUUUCAACGGUGAAGAUAAUGACGGUAACCGUAGAAGAAGCCCCGGCUAACUUCGUGCCAGCAGCCGCGGUAAUACGAAGGGGGCUAGCGUUGUUCGGAUUUACUGGGCGUAAAGCGCGCGUAGGCGGAUUGGUCAGUUAGGGGUGAAAUCCCAGGGCUCAACCCUGGAACUGCCCUUAAUACUGCCGGUCUUGAGUAUGGAAGA
rnacentral:rRNA from 1 species